GGUAGCCAGUCCUGCUCUGGUACCUCAGCCAGAUGCCGUAGUUCUUGAUCUUUGUUGGAUACUUCUCAAAGAUCUCAUUGAUCGCAAGGACUUGCCCAUUGCUCUUUUUCACCUUCUUCAGCUUCCUCAAGAAAUACCAAAACUUGGAUUUCGCUCGAACUUCAUUCGUAGCCCACAGCUUCAUACGGAAAAUCUUCGGGUGUUCAUCCGACGGAGUCGGCAGGGCCCUGCCCACCACUUGGUACUGAUGGAACCUGAAGUUGCCCAUGGAUUGAUCGCUGGAGCUCCGCCGAUCUCAG
rnacentral:misc_RNA from 1 species